UUGAAAGAAAUGAUACCUCUUUUCGUUUUUGUUUUCUGGUUGAUUAUGAGGGAGAUAAUUAAGAGAGUUGAGAUUUUUGAUGCUCUCAUUUCUACUUAGGAUAUCAUUUGUCUUUUGCCAGAGAAGAGAAGCUGCAUGGCAUGAUAGGAAGAUGUGGUUACCUGUCUUGCAGUCUUUUUUACACAUUGUACACCAGUUUGGGUUCAAGCACAUGGACUUUAUCCUCAUUUGGAUUUUAUCUUUCGUCAGUAGGUCAUCAUUGAUUAUAGUCCAAAGGAAAACUUUACAUUUUUUGGGAAUGUUUGUUUUUCCAGAGAUUUAUGAAGGCUACUGAUCUGUGUUAUGAGGGUGUGCCGAUUGGUGUGCGUUUAGAGUAGACUUUACUGAUCGGACAGAAAAACAUUGGUUGCUAUUUAGCUUCCAUAAUGGGGUAUUUCUGUCAUGUUGGUUCAGGAAGCUGGGUAGAUUUAUUUUGAUAUCCCUCCAUUGUUCCUGCUCUCUGUCGUUUAGUUGCCUCCUUGGAUUCAGAUCCCAGUCCUUUAUUCUUUCAUCCCACGUAUCCUUGAUAGAUGAUUCUUUUUCUUUAGAGAAUGCAAACAUUUCGUGGAAAGUUAUCUUUAAGGGCAAUGUUAUCAUUCCACCUGUGAUUCCAGAAAGACAAGGAUUCUCCAUUUUGGAUUUUCCAAUUUAAGUUUUCCUUGAACCAGCUGUAUUUGCUUGUGAUGGCCUUCCAUGGGGCAUUUGAGCUGCUGUAUUUACUUUGUGUAGGCAAGUCUUUUAUAUAUUCUUUUUCAUAUUUUGCAUCAAUGACUUUUCUCCAAAGAGCUUGUGGUUCAUUGUAAUAUCUCCAUAUCCAUUUGUUGAGAAGAGCAAAAUUUACUGAUUCUAUUGAGCUGAUGCCGAGGCCACUUUUUCUUUUGGGAGAGUAGCUAUCUUCCAAGAUACUGGAUUCAUAGACUUUUUCCUUAAGUCCUUAAGACAAUUUCUCGAAGUUACCUAUCCAUAAAAAGUUUCUCCAAUGUUUUUCUACCUCUUUACAGCAAGAUUUUGGAGCUUUAAAAACUGAGAGUUGAUAUGUAGGAAGGUUGGCUAAAGAGGAGUUAAUUAUCGUUAGUCUGCCUACUUUAGAGAUGAGAGCGUACUUCCAGUUGGGUUAUUGAAGACUUUGUGAGGUUGAUGUUUAGAGACCAGUGGCUGAUUCAAAGAGGUGAAUGGCAAACUGAAGAUUUCUGAUGCUUUCAUCCUCAUCUUGCACAAAGAGAAGAAUAUCAUCUGCAAAAAGAAGAUGUGUGAGAUUAAUAUCUUUGAUGAUAACUCCUUUUAUCUUGUUUGUGUUCUCCAAAUGUUUUAGUAGGCAGUUGAGAUAGUCCAUAGCUAGGAGAUAUGGGAUCUCCUUGUCUAAUUCCUCUUUUUGGCUGUAUUUUUCCACAAGGUUUCUCAUUUAUUAUUAGGGAUAGUUGCAAAUGUAGCAACUAUAUUCAAAAUAAUUAAGUAUAUAGCAACAUUUUUAAAAAAUUGCAAAUAUAGCAAAAUUUGUCAAAAUCUAUCAAUGAUAGGAGUCUAUCACUGAUAGACUAUGUAGCAAAUGUUGGUCUAUCACUAAUAAACCAUAGGAGUCUAUCAAGGAUAAAAACCCAUCGCUGAUAGAUUUUGUUA